AACGAACGCUGGCGGCAUGCCUAACACAUGCAAGUCGAACGAGACCUUCGGGUCUAGUGGCGCACGGGUGCGUAACGCGUGGGAACCUGCCUUUAGGUUCGGAAUAACUCUGAGAAAUUUGAGCUAAUACCGGAUGAUGUCUUCGGACCAAAGAUUUAUCGCCUUUAGAUGGGCCCGCGUUGGAUUAGCUAGUUGGUGGUGUAAAGGCCUACCAAGGCGACGAUCCAUAGCUGGUCUGAGAGGAUGAUCAGCCACACUGGGACUGAGACACGGCCCAGACUCCUACGGGAGGCAGCAGUGGGGAAUAUUGGACAAUGGGCGAAAGCCUGAUCCAGCAAUGCCGCGUGAGUGAUGAAGGCCUUAGGGUUGUAAAGCUCUUUUACCCGAGAUGAUAAUGACAGUAUCGGGAGAAUAAGCUCCGGCUAACUCCGUG
rnacentral:rRNA from 1 species